rnacentral:lncRNA from 1 species
UUUUUUUAGCAAAACAUUUCUUUUGAGUUCCAUCUUCUUUUCUAAAAAUUUCAGACUCAAAAAACAGCUUUAAAAAAAUAUCAGAAACCUCUUAUUUCUUUACAAGUUGAAAAUAUGAUUUAAAAGAGUUUUUCCUUAGUUCUUUAGCUGGAUUUUGGUGUUCUUCUAGCUUUGGUGCUGGUUUUUCAAGUCUGAUUCUAAGGGUUGUGGAGACUGUUUGGUUUGUUGCUGUUUUUUUGUUGCUCCUGAACCUUUUCCAGCAGGCUUACCUUCAUUACACUUGCUAUUUGAUUUGUUGUGUUAAGGUACAUAUGAAUAUUUCCCUACUCUGACUACCAUGUAAUUGAGGUUUAAGAUGAAUAUGAGUUGUUAUACUUUAUUUGAUGUUGUUCAUGUAUGUUAGGUUGAAUUAUUGCAUGGUGAAAUUGCAAUGGUGCCAGGGUUGUUCUUUAUCUAAAAAUACUUAUUUACCCCCUAACUUUUGUAAUAUUGUUUUAACUUCUUUAGUAAGUAUUAAUUAUUUCCAGCUAGUAUACAUUGCUUUUCUUCUUGAAAUGAUUAGUCCAUAUACUUCCCACCUCAAAAUCGGGCUGGCUCAUUGAGCUUGACCUUGACAUCGUCAGGUCCAUAGACUAAGCC